CUAGAUAAGUUAUUAGGUGGGUGCAAAGGUAAUCGCAGUUUUUCCCAUUAUUUUAAUUGCAAAAACAGCAAUUACCUUUGCACCAACCUGAUGGAGU
ensembl:miRNA